rnacentral:rRNA from 1 species
GAUGAACGCUAGCUACAGGCUUAACACAUGCAAGUCGAGGGGAGACGACAUCGAAAGCUUGCUUUUGAUGGGCGUCGACCGGCGCACGGGUGAGUAACGCGUAUCCAACCUGCCCACCACUUGGGGAUAACCUUGCGAAAGUAAGACUAAUACCCAAUGAUAUCCCACGAAGACAUCUGAAUGGGAUUAAAGAUUUAUCGGUGAUGGAUGGGGAUGCGUCUGAUUAGCUUGUUGGCGGGGUAACGGCCCACCAAGGCAACGAUCAGUAGGGGUUCUGAGAGGAAGGUCCCCCACAUUGGAACUGAGACACGGUCCAAACUCCUACGGGAGGCAGCAGUGAGGAAUAUUGGUCAAUGGGCGAGAGCCUGAACCAGCCAAGUAGCGUGCAGGAAGACGGCCCUAUGGGUUGUAAACUGCUUUUAGAAGGGAAUAAAGUGGGUCACGUGUGACUUUUUGCAUGUACCUUAUGAAUAAGGACCGGCUAAUUCCGUG